AGUAACACCUCCACUUACGACCUCAAUACUUAAAACACUAUUACUUACUUAUAAACACCCACUUAUGUACUUAAACAAACACACAUAUAUCACUUUAGAGAGUACAAAUGACAAGCUUCCAUCGAAAGUUAUGAACAUUUAUUUACUUUGAGAAAUAUAAUAAUAAUAAUAAUAAUAAUAAUCCACAAAACAAAGUAUUUCCUUGUGUUGAUGAUUGUGUUGACGACUCGCGACAAAAUGUAUCCCAACUUAUAUGAUAAUACUAAUAAUAUGGUAUGCAUUUCACUCUAUUAGGAUUGACGACCGAAAUCCAUCAAUCUCUCUGCAGAAAAGAUCAAACCUACAAUGGACCCCUUCAGUUUAUACCAGGGAAAGACUAACUCAAUUCUUUCAAUCUCUGUAAGGUAUAAAACUCAACUGGUUCUUUCCAUCUCUAUGCCAGGAACAGUCAACUCCAUUCUUCUAUCUUGGUGUAGGGAAAAACAACAGUGUACCCCUUCAAAUUAUACCAGGGAAAGACUAACUCAAUUCUUUCAAUCUCUGUACGGUAUAAAACUCAACUGGUUCUUUCCAUCUCUAUGCCAGGAAUAGUCAACUCCAUUCUUCUAUCUUGGUGUAGGGAAAAACAACAGUGUACCCCUUCAAAUUAUACCAGGGAAAGACUAACUCAAUUCUUUCAAUCUCUGUAAGGUAUAAAACUCAACUGGUUCUUUGUGUUUAUAUGCCAGGAACAGUCAACUGCAUUCUUCUAUCUUGGUGUAGGGAAAAAUAACUGUGUACCCCUUCAAAUUAUACCAGGGAAAGACUAACUCAAUUCUUUCAAUCUCUGUACGGUAUAAAACUCAACUGGUUCUUUCCAUCUCUAUGCCAGGAACAGUCAAUUCCAUUCUUCUAUCUUGGUGUAGGGAAAAACAACUGUGUACCCCUUCAAAUUAUACCAGGGAAAGACUAACUCAAUUCUUUCAAUCUCUGUAAGGUAUAAAACUCAACUGGUUCUUUCCAUCUCUGUGCCAGGAAUAGUCAACUCCAUUCUUCUAUCUUGGUGUAGGGAAAAACAACAGUGUACCCCUUCAAAUUAUACCAGAGAAAGACUAACUCAAUUCUUUCAAUCUCUGUAAGGUAUAAAACUCAACUGGUUCUUUCGAUCUCUAUGCCAGGAACAGUCAACUGCAUUCUUCUAUCUUGGUGUAGGGAAAAAUAACUGUGUACCCCUUCAAAUUAUACCAGGGAAAGACUAACUCAAUUCUUUCAAUCUCUGUAAGGUAUAAAACUCAACUGGUUCUUUCCAUCUCUAUGCCAGGAAUAGUCAACUCCAUCCUUCUAUCUUGGUGUAGGGAAAAACAACAGUGUACCCCUUCAAAUUAUACCAGGGAAAGACUAACUCAAUUCUUUCAAUCUCUGUAAGGUAUAAAACUCAACUGGUUCUUUCCAUCUCUAUGCCAGAAACAAAGUCAAUUCCAUCCUUCUAUCUUGGUGUAGGGAAAAAUAACUCUGUACCCCUUCAAUCUUUACCAGGGAAAGACUAACUCAAUUCUUUCAAUCUCUGUAAGGUAUAAAACUCAACUGGUUCUUUCCAUCUCUAUGCCAGGAACAAAGUCAAUUCCAUCCUUCUAUCUUGGUGUAGGGGAAAAUAACUGUGUACCCCUUCAAAUUAUACCAGGGAAAGACAUAACUGGAUCUAUUUCCUCUGCCCGGAUGGAAAAUUGACAAAUUAUUUCUGUCUCUAUACCAGGGAAAGACAAAAUUUGAUCCUAUUUCUCUGCCCGGAUGGAAAGUUAACAAAUUAUUUCUGCCUCUAUACCAGGGAAAGACAAAAUUUGAUCCGAUUUCUCUGCCCGGAUGGAAAAUUGACAAACCAUUUCUGCGUCUAUACCAGGGAAAGACAAAAUUUGAUCCUAUUUCUCUGCCCGGAUGGAAAGUUAACAAAUUAUUUCUGCCUCUGUACCAGGGAAAGACAAAAUUUGAUCCCAUUUCUCUGCCCGGAUGGAAAAUUGACAAAUUAUUUCUGCGUCUAUACCAGGGAAAGACAAAAUUUGAUCCCAUUUCUCUGCCCGGAUGGAAAGUUAACAAAUUAUUUCUGCGUCUAUACCAGGGAAAGACAAAAUUUGAUCCCAUUUCUCUGCCCGGAUGGAAAAUUGACAAAGUAUUUCUGCCUCUAUACCAGGAACAAGAACUCAAAACACAUCCUUCCUUCUGUCUGAACUUAUAAAAAACAUAUCAGGUCGUUUCUACCCGAGGAAAUAACUAAACAAUUCUCUUUUUCAUUUCUAUGCAUGGAAGAAAAUACACAGACCCUUUCUAUUAUAUGUAAACAAAUGUAAAUGAAUGUCCUCCCUCUGUACCCACCAAUGUAAACAGAGGUAAAUGGACUUGUAAAUGACCAUUGUAUAACUAUUAAACUAACCUCCUAUCAAGAGAGAGAAAGAGAGAGAGAGAGAGAGGAUAUACUAUACUUGCAAAUAUAUAAAAAAAAAAUCACUUUAUGUAAAAAAUUGCAAACAGAGAGAGAGAGAGAGAGAGAGAGAGAAAGGAUAUACUAUGCUUGCAAAUAUAUAAAAAAAAAUCACUUUAUGUAAACAAAUGCAGAGAGAGAGAGAGAGAGAGAGAGAGAGAGA